AGUCGAGCGGCAAGUUGGGUAGUAAUACUUGACCUAGAGCGGCGCACGGGUGCGUAACGCGUAUGCAACCUACCUUUUACUGGGGGAUAGCCCGGAGAAAUCUGGAUUAAUACCCCAUGGUAUCUACGAAUCGAAUGUUUUGUAGCUUAAAGAUUUAUCGGUAAAAGAUGGGCAUGCGUCUGAUUAGCUAGUUGGCGGGGUAACGGCCCACCAAGGCGACGAUCAGUAGGGGUUCUGAGAGGAAGGUCCCCCACACUGGCACUGAGAUACGGGCCAGACUCCUACGGGAGGCAGCAGUAGGGAAUAUUGGGCAAUGGUCGCAAGACUGACCCAGCCAUGCCGCGUGCAGGAAGACGGCCCUCUGGGUUGUAAACUGCUUUUAUCUGGGAAGAAAAAGUCCAUGCGUGGAAAAUUGCCGGUACCAGAUGAAUAAGCACCGGCUAACUCCGUGCCAGCAGCCGCGGUAAUACGGAGGGUGCAAGCGUUGUCCGGAUUUAUUGGGUUUAAAGGGUGCGUAGGCGGCUGAAUAAGUCAGCGGUGAAAGACUUCGGCUUAACCGGAGCAGUGCCGUUGAUACUGUUUGGCUUGAGUGUUGGAGGGGUACAUGGAAUUGAUGGUGUAGCGGUGAAAUGCAUAGAUACCAUCAGGAACACCGAUAGCGAAGGCAUUGUACUGGCCAACAACUGACGCUGAGGCACGAAAGUGUGGGGAUCGAACAGGAUUAGAUACCCUGGUAGUCCACACUGUAAACGAUGAUUACUCGCUGUUAUGGUGUAUGCUGUAGCGGCCAAGCGAAAAGCGUUAAGUAAUCCACCUGGGGAGUACGCC
rnacentral:rRNA from 1 species